AUGGAGGAAAUGGAGCACAGCGGUUUGUAGCUCUCACGUGGUUGCUUAUCUGCUGACCCACCUUAAUGAUGUGGAGCCACCUUACAGCUGCCCCUGCAACUUCUCUACCUUUCCAAGAAUCCUCUCUCAGCUUCUCUAACCCUGAAGCCAGGCGUAUGUUUAACUCCCACGUGCAGAGCACCAGCUUCCCCUACAGGAGGAUGCCCAUGCCAGUGUGGUCAGAGAUGCCCACACCUCAGAGAGAGCCCUCCCCUGGACUGGAGGUAUAAGGACAUGAGCCAGUGAAAAAAAAUGAUUUCUACAGACAUUAAGAGCUAUCUUGAAGCUGAAUGGACAAAUGUUCAUCUAUACCAUGUAGCCGCACCUGUGGAAAGUCCACCAGUUCAUUUUGAGAAUUCGUGUUAGUAUUCAUGCAGCAGCCGGGGCCUUACCUGGGAAGAGAUAAAUAGCCCCCAAGCAUUUGCCUUGUAAAACCUUGCCAACAACCCAUCAUUAAAACUCAAAGGAAAUGUU